rnacentral:lncRNA from 1 species
GGGGGUGUUUCCAAGUACACGGGCAUGGUGCUCGGGUAUGCGGAGACCCGAGGAUAUGCGGGUAUCCCACGGGCAGAGGGGUAGGUGGCAGGGUGGUGACAGCCCUAUCAUCCUUCGUAUUCCCCCACGUUCGGAUAUUUGGUAGGAGUCAUGUAAAGUCUCUAUUUGCUGGCAGACCAGCUAUGGAGAUCUCCCCAGUAUCUCAGACUUAGCCCUAACUUGUUCUUAUUAGCUAGAUGACCUGCUAACAGAUCUAUUGUAUAACUUGUAUACGACCAUGCCUGCUCACGUAAUUGUUCUUUUAUUCUUUGUUUUCCCUUUAUUCCUUGAGGUUGCUCCGAUGUGUGUCCGCUAUCAAAUAGACUACAUAUUUACCCCGGUUUAUACUAUGUCUACCAUGCAUUUCAAUAAGUAAUCAUGUUUAUAACCAAAGCUAGAUGCGUUCACAAUGCCUUCCUAUGGGAAAUUAUAAAUACGACACCCC